rnacentral:rRNA from 1 species
GACAGAGGGUGCAAACGUUGCUCGGAAUUACUGGGCGUAAAGCGUGUGUAGGUGGAUUGGUGUGUCAGAUGUGAAAUCCCUGUGCUCAACCCAGGAACUGCACCUGAAACUACCAGUCUUGAGUGGUGGAGAGGGAAGUGGGAUUCCUGGUGUAGAGGUGAAAUUCGUAGAUAUCGGGGAGGAACACCAGUGGCGAAGGCGGCGACCUGGACGGACACUGACGCUGAGACGCGAAAAGCGUGGGGGAGCAAAACAGG